GCCCAGGUCCGCAUUUCCUCUCGGAAGAUCUUGUACUGUAUCUUGCAGGCCAGCCUUCAUUCAAUGCAACAGUGAAUGAUGUAACUGAAGAAGAAAUAAAGAAAGCUUUGCAAGAGAUUGACUGUGCUGCUUCUGUCGAAGCUUUGCGAGAAUGUACUUUAAAACAUAGCACAAUGUUACAGACAGCUGGUUGUCUGAGAUAUGUGGCUACUCUUGAAGAAAAGAGAACAAUUGUGUCAGACUACCUCCGAUGGUAUAUUAUCGACCGUAACUCAUGUGUAAUUGACAGGUACCAUCAUAUCCUAGUCUUACAAUUUUUGUAAGUUACAUUGCCAUGUUAAAAGCAAACAUGAUGUCAGUCUGCAAUUCAGUUGUUAACAAGCAACUUACAACUACUGCAUUAUUAGUGAAGGACAGUUCCAAUAAUUUUCAACAUAUAUUAUUUCAAAAAGGGUUUCUGGUGAUGAGUCAGGGUCACAAAUGUUUUAGUCGAUAGUGAUUUUAGGGAAAUGUCCUGGUCCUUUUGCAGUUUCCCAUCUCAUUUCAACAGUAGUACAUAGGGGCAGGCAUGCUGUUCAAGCCUUCAAACCAUCUAAAAUAAGUGAUCUAAAACCAGAAACUCAGAAAGGCUUUAAGAACAUACCCCAUUGACUCAUCUUUAAAGGGAAAAUGCAAAAGCAACACGAAGUUUCUCUAAUAUGACCCGAUACACUAAAACACAUUUUUGACUCUGUCAGCAGCAGAAAAAUCUUAAAACCUUAGACGCUGAAAAUUAUUGGAGUAAUCAUGUUUUUAAUAUACUGUCCAUACACAUACACUAUGUGAUUAGCACUUUAUAGCAGUGUGACAAUGUAUUUUGUACUUUUUAGAUUUAAAAAUGGUCUUUCAGCUCUUCAGUUUUUGACUGCACUGCAGCAGCAUCCUACUUUGAUGAUCCCUGUGCUGUGCCACUCAGAAAAGAAGGUCACUGCUCUUGAACUUGAGGGACUUUUCAAACCUGACCUCAGUCCAUCAGGGAGCAACAGGAGACUCAAAGAAGGACAAACAUUAGGCUACUGGGCUGACUAUCUCCUUGAUUGUGAAGAAGGUCAGGCUGCUGUUUGCGUGGAAGAUGUUUUCAUGUUUGCAACUGGACUAACUUCACUUCCCCCGUCUGGAUUGGAACCACUGCCAAGGAUUGAGUUCCUGGAUGAUUCACCGUUCCCAAUGGCAAACACGUGUUCAAACACAAUGAAAUUACCACUGCUGGAUUCAUACAAGGUGUUUAAAUCACAUAUGGAUUUUGGAAUUCAGAAUUCUCCAGGAUUUGGCUGUUUUUAAAUCAGGGUCCACUAGAUAUGGAUAAGUGUGUGCCUUAAAUCACUGCAGGUAGAGAACCUGCAUCCAUCUGCACUGGUGGACGCACUUUUUUGCACUAUUAUUUAAUUUUGUAAUAAAACUUUGCUGCAUUUGUAUAUUUGAGAUUUUGAAGAAACCACAUGUUUGAUUACUGUUUAUUUAAGCAACAACUGAAGAUGUUUUAAUGUGUUCUUGUUUACAGUAUGUUACAUUUGGACAGUUUCAUCAUAUCCUGAGAUCUGAAAGAGAGAUUUCCUGGUAAUAAAGCCAAACCAAGACUACUUGAAAUUAAAUAUUUAUUUUUGAUACUUAAAUAAUAGUGUAAUAAAUAUUUUAUACUUUUGC